rnacentral:rRNA from 1 species
AGGAAUUGGCGGGGGAGCACAACAACGGGUGGAGCCUGCGGUUUAAUUGGACUCAACGCCGGACAACUCACCGGGGGCGACAGCAAUAUGUAGGCCAAGCUGAAGACUUUGCCUGAAUCGCUGAGAGGAGGUGCAUGGCCGUCGCCAGUUCGUACUGUGAAGCAUCCUGUUAAGUCAGGCAACGAGCGAGACCCGUGCCCACUGUUACCAGCAUGUCCUCCGGGACGAUGGGUACACUGUGGGGACCGCCGGUGUUAAAUCGGAGGAAGGUGCGGGCCACGGUAGGUCAGUAUGCCCCGAAUCUCCCGGGCUACACGCGGGCUACAAUGGAUGGGACAAUGGGUCCCUCCCCUGAAAAGGGCUGGCAAUCUCACAAACCCAUCCUUAGUUCGGAUCGAGGGCUGUAACUCGCCCUCGUGAAGCUGGAAUCCGUAGUAAUUGCGUUUCAAUAUAGCGCGGUGAAUACGUCCCUGCUCCUUGCACACACCGCCCGUCAAACCACCCGAGUGAGGUAUGGGUGAGGGCACGGACACUGUGCCGUGUUCGAACCCGAAUUUUGCAAGGGGGGUUAAGUCGUAACAAGGUAACCUCAGUCAGUCAA